rnacentral:rRNA from 1 species
AACGAACGCUGGCGGCAUGCCUAACACAUGCAAGUCGAACGAGACCUUCGGGUCUAGUGGCGCACGGGUGCGUAACGCGUGGGAACCUGCCCUUAGGUUCGGAAUAACUCCCCGAAAGGGGUGCUAAUACCGGAUAAUGUCUUCGGACCAAAGAUUUAUCGCCUUUGGAUGUGCCCGCGUUGGAUUAGCUAGUUGGUAGGGUAAAAGCCUACCAAGGCGACGAUCCAUAGCUGGUCUGGGAGGAUGAUCAGCUACACUGGGACUGAGAGACGGCCCAGACUCCUACGGGAGGCAGCAGUGGGGAAUAUUGGACAAUGGGCGAAAGCCUGAGCCAGCAAUGCCGGGUGAGUGAUGAAGGCCUUAGGGUUGUAAAGCUCUUUUAGCCGAGAUGAUAAUGACAGUACCGGGAGAAUAAGCCCCGGCUAACUCCGUG